AACGCGUGAAGGCGAGCACUCUAGCGAACUGCCGUUGACAAAACGGAGGAAGUGGGAUGACGUCAAAUCAUCAUGCCCCUUAUGUUCUGGGCUACACACGUGCUACAAUGGCCGGUACAGACGGACGCAAAGCCGCGAGGUGGAGCAAAUCCUAAAAAGCCGGUCUCAGUUCGGAUUGCAGGCUGCAAUUCGCCUGCAUGAAGUCGGAAUCGCUAGUAAUCGCAGGUCAGCAUACUGCGGUGAAUACGUUCCCGGGCCUU
rnacentral:rRNA from 1 species